rnacentral:rRNA from 1 species
AGCGAACGCUGGCGGCGUGCUUAACACAUGCAAGUCGAGCGGAAAGGCCUCUUCGGGGGUACUCGAGCGGCGAACGGGUGAGUAACACGUGAGUAAUCUGCCCUUCACUCUGGGAUAGCCACCGGAAACGGUGAUUAAUGCCGGAUACGACACGUCCAGGCAUCUGGUGCGUGUGGAAACUUUUUGGGUGGGGGAUGUGCUCGCGGCCUAUCAGCUUGUUGGUGGGGUAAUGGCCUACCAAGGCUUCGACGGGUAGCCGGCCUGAGAGGGUGACCGGCCACACUGGGACUGAGACACGGCCCAGACUCCUACGGGAGGCAGCAGUGGGGAAUAUUGGACAAUGGGCGGAAGCCUGAUCCAGCAACGCCGCGUGAGGGAUGACGGCCUUCGGGUUGUAACCCUCUUUCAGCACCGACGAAGCGAUCCUUUGGGGAGUGACGGUAGGUGCAGAAGAAGGACCGGCCAACUACGUGCCAGCCGCCGCGGUAAUAC